rnacentral:rRNA from 1 species
UACGUAGGGUGCAAGCGUUGUCCGGAAUUAUUGGGCGUAAAGAGCUCGUAGGCGGUUCGUCGCGUCGGCUGUGAAAACCCGGAGCUCAACUCCGGGCCUGCAGUCGAUACGGGCGGACUUGAGUGUUGCAGGGGGAGACUGGAAUUCCUGGUGUAGCGGUGAAAUGCGCAGAUAUCAGGAGGAACACCGGUGGCGAAGGCGGGUCUCUGGGCCGAUACUGACGCUGAGGAGCGAAAGCGUGGGGAGCGAACAGG